ensembl:lncRNA
CUCCUAUACCCCUCACCCUUCUUCCUUCCCGUCUUCCUGCUACUCUGAAACACAGCAGCUUUCACCAUAACUGUGUUUCUUCCUUCAGCUUACAAAAGAGGCACCCAGUCACUUCUAAUUUUUACAAAAAAUUGUGUGACUGGGGAUCAAACUCACAGCCUUUUUGCUGACCUACAUUCUCUCUCCUUUUUUGUUUUUAUUUCAGAGACAAGUCUCACUAAGUUGCUCCAGCUGGUCUCCAAUUUGCAGUCCUCCUGCCUCAGCCUCCCAGAGUUUGAGGAUUACAGAUGCAACAGUCAAGGCAGAAAACCAAGAUCAUCUUCCCAAGGUCUGAGCUACCGAGUAUCAGAGCCAGAAGAGGAGCCAGGCAGGCAUGGUUCCAAGGUCGCUUCCCUGUGAGACUCCACCUU